AUAGUGUGCACCACUAAAAGUGUCCCGUCAUAUCUCUGAAGUGUAAACGAACGCGACAACUGAUUGAUGCCGAUCUGCAUGCCUACAUUCGGAUACCUCAAAGCAUAAAACAGAUGACCUUGCUGAAAUGCAUCAGCUAUGACUGAUGUGGAGUCAUCGUCCUAUGAAGACUUCAUAGCCUCAGGAAGGACUGGAAGAAGGAAUGCUAUCCACGCAGGCAACCUCGAAUCAAGCGAAUUAUCUGAGUCACUAUCCAAGCUCAACAUCAGUAAAACUGGUGGUGAUGAUGAAGGGGAGCAAAGCCAGGACUCCUCAGGCUCACCUCCUAAGCCAGAGGAGACUAAAGAGCAGGGCACCUAACUGCUAACUGAAACCUAUCAGGGCAUUUGUUGGGCACAUCUCCCCCCCGCCCCUUAUGCUUCCCCCGCUGUGAACCUCCUCCAGCCCCAACCUCAUCUGUGAGAUCAGGCCAUGGAUGCUCCGCUGGUCAAACCGCUGAGAGACAUGUCCAUGUCUGUCCGCCUGGCUGUGUGCCCAGGCACAGGAACAGGGCUUUACCUAAAACAGCUGCCGGAACCCACAGCACUGCGGCAGCUACCGGUCUGCGGCGAAGGCUGAGAGGACAACCCAACCCUUCCGCUAUUACCAUGACCACCUCCACUGCCGCAGUGGACAUCUCCAGUGGCUUGCUACUGCCCCUCCUCAGCCAUUUCUGUAGCUGAAAGUUGACUAGGAAACGCCACAGUAGGCUGCUUGCGGCACCGCCAGAUAUCCAAUGACUUGUCCCCGAGGGAGGCUCACUUGUUUUUUGGGCGACGAGGCGAGUGGGGGAUACAGUAGGGGGACAGUUCUGUCGUCCAGAUUGGACUUGUUGACCCGCACCUACAGUACAGUAUAACUAGACAAAGAUUUUUGAUCGACAAAUCAAGCUGCCAAAGUUGUUAGUCUUCACAUAUUUUCCACUCAGUGGCGUUGUAGGUGUAUGUGACGGCAUACUGUAGCUUACCCUCUGCUGUUUACCAAUAUGUAUGUAUAGGGAUAAAUACUUUUGUAUUCUUUGUGUAGGUAUAUUUAUUCAUUAACUUUAUGCUGCCAUCAUAUAGUAAUAUUUGCACUGGUUUUGUGUAUGCAGUAUACCAUGUAACACAUUGAAAAAUCCAACCAGCAUGUGUGUUAGUACCAUUGUGUGAAAAAACAAAAACACUAUUAAGGUCAAAUUCAUGUGCACUUUUAUAUGGAAGAGCUAUAACUGCCACGUCAGAGUUUUGACAGUGUUGUCAAUCUACUGCCCGUGUAACCAAGAGUCAAGACUGUGAUCAGACAUAGGCCUACCGUGGAGAAGGCAUGUUUUUCAUGCUGUUUCAGUCUGUCAUAGGAUGGUUGAGAUUUCUUCAGUCUUUAUAUCAGUAAAGUUUAAGCUAUACAGUGAUGCUCCUGCUAAAGCAUUGAGUUUGUGGUCGAUACUUUUUUUUCACACUGUGUAUAAAGGUAAUAAAAAGUGCUUAAAAUCCACAAGAAGGCUUCUUAUGUAUAAUGAAGAGUGAUUAUCACUAAUAGUGAAGGAGUUUGAAUAAAGUAGUUCAUUUCAAAAUGUCACUGAGAAAAGUAGCUCACCAGUUAGCAAAGGUGCGUUAUAGGUGCAGUAAAAAGCCUAUUGUUGCAGAGACCAACAAUCGCUUGACUUGAUAUUUUCAUACAAUACUGUGUGUUACUCAUACAGUAUACAGUAGGCCUAUCAUAUCAGGCAGUUUUGGUUAUACAUUUCUAAUUCACAAUUAUGCAUUUCUGUGUUAUUGUGUAAUAUUGUGUGUGAGUCAGAAUGAAGGAAGAAUGGCUGGAAUACUGCUUGCUGUUGUGAGAGCAAGGUUUAAGAUUAACCUAAAUUAUGAUUGAAAAUGCCGCUAUUGUUGUACUGUUUUUGACCACUAGAUGGGACUAUUUUUAGAUUUUCAUAUUGGGCUCCCUUAGACCGUCUUCAAGAAAACAUGGCCACCCUGUGGACAAAAAGUUAACCUGCAGUUUUUACACUUCAGAUCACCAACUACUGGAAAGAAGUCUGCACACAUUUUGUUUUGUAGACAAUGUUUUCUUUGAAAAUUGAGCAUAAAUACAAAAAUGCUCCAAAAAAAUGAAAGAAUUGAGUGGGGACCUCUUUACAGUAGUGUUUGAAUUCACCCUGUCCUGCCGCUGGGAUAUGCACGUCGAACUGCUUUUGACCUUCUCUUUGACUUUAUUCUACCAGCUCCCUAACCUGGCUCUCAGCCAUGCCACACCAGGGCCAGAUCUGGGCCAGGGACACUAAGACAGUCUCCCUUAAUAAAGCUUUCAGCAGCGCCUCCAGCUGCUUCUAUUGAGCAAUCUGUGGUGUGUAUUCAAUUUUGACUAUUCAAAGUUAUCAGUGUCCAUGUGUUUUAUGAUAUUCAAUAUAUGUAACAGGGCAUUUCCGGGUGAUGUUAUUAAUUAUAUCAUGGAUUCACAAGGCAGUUUAUUCAAAUACGGCAAUAAAAGAGGAUUUGGAAUCAAAAUCCACUUUUACGAUUUGGAAUCAAAAUUCACUUUUACGAUUAGGUGGUUGGUAUAUGAAGGUCUAUAUUGUGGAGUUCCUACAGCCUUCGCUCCAGGCCUAAUCUGAAAGUCCAGGCUGUAAUGUUAAGAUGCUUGACCCAUAUAUUUAGACACAGACAGCUUAUACCUUUCACAGUGGGAGACAUAGACUUCCUCCUUCAUGGCUUCCU